UACCAGCACCCCGAGUGGUCGGGACGUUUAUUGGGCCUAAAGCAUCCGUAGCCGGUUCUACAAGUCUUCCGUUAAAUCCACCUGCUUAACAGAUGGGCUGCGGAAGAUACUAUAGAGCUAGGAGGCAGGAGAGGCAAGCGGUACUCGAUGGGUAGGGGUAAAAUCCGUUGAUCCAUUGAAGACCACCAGUGGCGAAGGCGGCUUGCCAGAACGCGCUCGACGGUGAGGGAUGAAAGCUGGGGGAGCAAACCGG
rnacentral:rRNA from 1 species